rnacentral:rRNA from 1 species
UACAGAGGUGGCAAGCGUUGUUCGGAAUUACUGGGCGUAAAGGGCUCGUAGGCGGCCAACUAAGUCAGACGUGAAAUCCCUCGGCUUAACCGGGGAACUGCGUCUGAUACUGGAUGGCUAGAGGUUGGGAGAGGGAUGCGGAAUUCCAGGUGUAGCGGUGAAAUGCGUAGAUAUCUGGAGGAACACCGGUGGCGAAGGCGGCAUCCUGGACCAAUUCUGACGCUGAGGAGCGAAAGCCAGGGGAGCAAACGGG